rnacentral:ribozyme from 1 species
UUCCCAGCAACUCCUAUCCCUACCACCUCAUGGUACUGGCCGGAGUACGAGUAACCUUGGGGAAGAUCGUGUAACCAACCCCGCUGGGAACUUUGAUUGUAUGCUGACAGGGAAGG